rnacentral:rRNA from 1 species
AGAGUUGAGUCCUGGCGUCAGGAUGAACGCUAGCUACAGGCCUAACACAUGCAAGUCGAGGGGCAGCAUGGGAGAAGCUUGCUUUCCUGAUGGCGACCGGCGAAUGGGUGAGUCACGCGUGUCCAACCUGCCUCGGCCCGGGGAUAGCCCUUGGAAAUGAGGAUUAAGACCCGAUACGUGGCGCUUCCGCAUGGCGGCGCCAUGAAACGAGACCGGAGAUGGGGACGCGUCGGAUUAGCUUGACGGCGGGGCAACGGCCCACCGUGGCGACGAUCCGCAGGGGUUCUGAGAGGAAGGUCCCCCACACUGGCACUGAGACACGGGCCAGACUCCUACGGGAGGCAGCAGUGAGGAAUAUUGGUCAAUGGCCGAGAGGCUGAACCAGCCAAAGUAGCGUGCAGGACGACGGCCCUACGGGUUGUAAACUGCUUUUGCGGGAGGAUAAAGGACGUCACGUGUGACGUUUUGCAGGUAUCCCGUGAAUAAGGACCGGCUAAUUCCGUGCCAGCCGCCGC